CCGGAGGCCAAGUACAAUAGUCACAAGCAUCGAGACAGUUGUAAGCGACACACUUCAAAUAAUAAUAACAAUUAUUUAGACUUUGUUUGACACUCGAUCUACUUGAGAUAAUAUCGAUUGAAACAUCUGAAAAAAAAUAAUUUUUAUUUAAAAUGACGUUCAUUUCAAAAUUUUUAUUGUUUAUUACCGUCGUUUUGGUUAUAACGGCCCACACAAUGGCGACACCUGUAUUUACAAAUUCAUGGGGAGGCGCAUGGUUCUAUCCAAGAUAUCCUGAUUAUAUUUCUUAUGACAACGCCAAAAAAUAAAUCGAAAUUUACUUCAAUUGUUUAUUUUUUUUUUCUUUUUUGCAAGAAUUCUGACAUAAUUACUAAAAAUAAAAUAAAAUAUCUUUGAUACUGUGAUGUAAA